UGAGCAAUCUGCCCUUCUCAUCGGAAUAAGCGUUGGAAACGACGUCUAAUGCCGAAUACGACCUCCUUUCGCAUGAUCGGAGGUGGAAAGCUCCGGCGGAGAAGGAUGAGCUCGCGGCCUAUCAGCUAGUUGGUGUGGGUAAUGGCCCACCAAGGCGACGACGGGUAGCUGGUCUGAGAGGAUGGCCAGCCACAUUGGGACUGAGACACGGCCCAGAUCCUACGGG
rnacentral:rRNA from 1 species